rnacentral:rRNA from 1 species
UACGGAGGGGGCUAGCGUUGUUCGGAAUUACUGGGCGUAACGCGCACGUAGGCGGCUUUGUAAGUUAGAGGUGAAAGCCCGGGGCUCAACUCCGGAAUUGCCUUUAAAACUGCAUCGCUAGAAUUGUGGAGAGGUAAGUGGAAUUCCGAGUGUAGAGGUGAAAUUCGUAGAUAUUCGGAAGAACACCAGUGGCGAAGGCGACUUACUGGACACAUAUUGACGCUGAGGUGCGAGAGCGUGGGGAGCAAACAGG